rnacentral:rRNA from 1 species
AUGGCGCUGCGAACCCUGGCGGCGAGGGUGCGGACUUCCGCCGCUGCGCUCUGCCUCCAGACGCCGGCCCUCGGCCUCUCCCCUCCACCCGCCGGCCGCCCCAACCUCCACUCCGCCGCCGCCACCCGCCGCCUGCCCCAUCCGGUCGGCGGCCGUCCCUGCCUCAUCUCCAGCAGGAAUCUGGGGGGUUCUCCAGCUGAAGACGCAGCUCGGAAGAUGGUGCUUGAGUAUGCUGCCAUACUUGAACGCCUGGAGAAGAGUCACGAAAGGUUCAAGGCGCACGUUGGAUUAAUGGAGAAGUUUGGCAAGGUUCUGAAGUGGUCGUUGGCUUGCAUUAUCCCUGUGCCUUUGGUUUACACCAUUGCGGAGUAUUAUUAG